CUUGGUUGAUCCUGCCAAUAGUCAUCUCCUUGUCUCAAAGAUUAAGCCAUGCAUAUCUAAGUAUGAACUAAUUCAGACUGUGAAAUUGCGGAUGGCCCAUUAAAUCAGUUAUAGUUUUUUUAAAGGUACCAUACUACUCGGCUAACCAUAGUAACUCUAGAGCUAAUACAUACACCAAGUCCUGACUCUUUGGAAGGGAUGCAUUUUUUAAAUAAAGGGCCAAUGCGAGCUUGCCCACUUCUCUAGUGAAUCAUGACAACUCAAUGGAUCACACAGCCAUUGUGCUAGCGAUGCUUCAUUCAAAUUUCUGCCCUAUCAACUUUUGAUGGUAGGAUAGAGGCCUACCAUGGUGGUGACAUGUGAUAGAGAAUUAGGGUUCAAUUCCGAAGAGGGAGCCUAAGAAACAACUACCACAUCCAAGGAAGGUAGUAGGCACGCAAAUUACCCAAUCCUAAAAUGGGGAGAUAGUGGCAAUAAAUAACAAUACUGGGCUCAUCGAGCCCGGUAAUUGGAAUGAGUAUAAUAUAAAUCCCUUAACAAGGAUCCAUUUGAGGGAAAUUCUGGUGCCAGUAGCUAUGGAAAUUCUAGCUCCAAUAACGUAUAUUUAAGUUGUUGCAGUUGAAAAACUUGUAGUUGGAUCUUGGGUUGUAAAGGUCAGUUCACCUACUUGGUGUCAACCUGCCCUUUCGUCCCUUUUAUCAGGGGUGUGGUCCUGGCCUUAAUUGGAUGGGUUGCAGCUCCAGUAUUGUUACUUUUGAAAAAUUAGAGUGCUCAAAGCAAGAUUAUGCUCUAAAUACAUUAGCAUCGAAUAACAUGAAAGGAGUUUGUUCCUAUUGUGUUGGCCUUCAAGACCGGAGUAAUGAUUUAUAGGGACUGUCAGGGGCAUUCGUAUUUCAUUGUCAAAGGCGAAAUUCUUGGAUUUAUGAAAGACAGACCACUGCACAAGCAUUUUCCACGGAUGUUUUCAUUAAUCAAAAAUGAAAGUAUGGGGCUUGAAGAUGAUCAGAUACCGUCCUAGUCUCAACCAUAAAUGAUGUCGACUAGGGAUCAAUGGAUGUUGCUUUAAGGACUCUGCUAACACCUUCUGAUAAAUCAGAUUGUUUGGGUUCCAAGGGGAGUAUGGUCGUAAGGCUGAAACUUAAAGGAAUUAACCGAAGGGCACCACCAAGAGUGGAGCAUGUGGCUUAAUUUGACUCAACAAGGGGAAACUUACCAGGUCCAAACAUAGUAAGGAUUGAUAGAUUGAGAGCUAUUUCUUGAUUCUAUGGGUGGUGGUGCAUGUCCAUUCUUAGUUGGUGGAGAGAGUUUUCUAGUUAAUUCCGAUAAUGAAUGAGACCUCAGCCUACUAACUAGCUACGCAAAGGUUCCCCUUCAUGGCUAGCUUCUUAAAGGGACUAUGGUCGUUUAGGCCAUGGAAGUUUGAGGUAAUAACAUGUCUAUGAUUCCCCUAGAUGUUAUUCACUGAGGCAGCCAACGAGUUUUUCUUCUAGGUUCGAGAGGAUUAGGGAAUCUUCUCAAAUUUCAUUGUUAUGUGGAUAGACCAUUGCUAUUAUUGGUCUUCAAUGAGGAAUUCCUAGUAAUCACAUGUCAUCAACUCAUGUUGAUUAUGUCCUUACCCUUUGUACACACUGCCUAUCGCUCCUAGUGAUUUAAUGAUAUGGUAAGUGUUCGGAUUGCGUUGACAAUGGUGGUUCACCAUUUUCGACGUCGUGAGAAGUUCAUUGAACCUUAUCAUUUAGAUGAAGGAGAAGUCAUAAUAAGGUUACCGUAUGUGAACCUACAGUAG
rnacentral:rRNA from 1 species